AAUUUAAUCAAGGACUGAGGACACAAGAGGGUCUCUAAUCUAUAUUAGCUAGUCUUAGUUUAGGUGGUAACCUAAGCACAACGAAUUGACUAAGACAUAUAUACUUUCUACUGAGAGUUAAAAGGUAUGAAUCUCUUCACCAUAAAAAAAAAUCUUUAGUCUUUUUGGUUAAAAAUGGUUGAACAUAAAGUUGGUAUAUUAAA